ACAUUUCUUGUUUCAAACAAGCCUUACAGUCGUUUUCGACUGACUUAUCGCGACCAUUUUUCACUAUAUUAUUCCAACCCCCAGUGAUUUAGACCAUUUUCCUUUACUAAACAAUAAAAAUUCGGUUUGGUUCAAAUGUCCUUUUCAAUGGGAGCUGUCACACCAAAGAAAACAGGGCCACUCGUCAGAAAGAUAUUAUAACUCGUGGAUUGAGGUAGAAAAGAUACUCGAAAAGGAAACUUCCUACAGUGAAACAAAAUCAGGCUUGAUAGAGGAGAAACAACGACGCCAAAUUGAAGAUAGCUUGAUGAAAUUGAACGUAGUUCAAGCACCCAGCGUACGCUCGAGAGUUUGAUGAGGACUCGUUGACCAAUAAAAACACGAAUGAUUCCAAGCAUGUUGACGACGAUGAAAGCUCUAGCGAGGACGAGGCUCCAAUACAAAAACAAAAGAAAUAUCGAUGAAUCACAUAUAAACUUUGGAAGCUCGUUGGCUCACUUGAUAUAUAGUAAAGGGAACUGCUCACGAUGUUGCUGAAGAUGUGUAAAAAUAACUACCUGCGUCUUUCCUUUAGGACGAGGAAUUUGAUUUCGAAA